rnacentral:misc_RNA from 1 species
AAGUCGUAACAAGGUUUCCGUAGGUGAACCUGCGGAAGGAUCAGUAGAGAAAACUGGGUUCUUAACCGGCCCGAUCUACCCCACACACACCUGUGAACCGUUUUACAAGUCCGACGGCCUCUAACCGGGCCCGAGGGCUUCUUUACAAAACAUCUGUAACAAGUCUUGAACGUCAACGUUAUAUCUUAACAAAAAUAUAACUUUCAACAACGGAUCUCUUGGCUCCCAC